UACGUAGGUGGCAAGCGAUACUCGGAAUCACUAGGCGUAAAGCGCAGGUAGGCGGUUCGGUGAGUCUUUUGUGAAAGCUCCCGGCUUAACUGGGAGAGGCCAAGGGAAACUGCCGAGCUAGAGUGUGGUAGGGGAUACUGGAAUUCCUGGUGUAGCGGUGAAAUGCGUAGAUAUCAGGAGGAAUACCUAUGGCGAAAGCAGGUAUCUGGGCCAUCACUGACGCUGAGCUGCGAAAGCUAGGGGAGCAAACAGG
rnacentral:rRNA from 1 species